rnacentral:misc_RNA from 1 species
GAACUGCGAUAAGUAAUGUGAAUUGCAGAAUUCAGUGAAUCAUCGAGUCUUUGAACGCACAUUGCGCCCCCUGGCAUUCCGGGGGGCAGGCCUGUCCGAGCGUCAUUGCUGCCCUCAAGCCCGGCUUGUGUGUUGGGUCGUCGUCCCCCCCGGGGGACGGGCCCGAAAGGCAGCGGCGGCACCGUGUCCGGUCCUCGAGCGUAUGGGGCUUUGUCACCCGCUCGAUUAGGGCCGGCCGGGCGCCAGCCGGCGUCUCCAACCUUAUUUUUCUCAGGUUGACCUCGGAUCAGGUAGGGAUACCCGCUGAACUUAAGC